AUGGCUCAGGAUGAACGCUAGCGGCAGGCUUAACACAUGCAAGUCGAGGGGCAUCGGGAGUAGCAAUACUGCCGGCGACCGGCGCAAGGGUGCGUAACGCGUGAGCAACAUGCCCGUAUCAGGGGGGAUAAUCCAUGGAAACGUGGUCUAAUACCCCAUAGUAAUUAUGUAAGGCAUCUUAUAUAAUUUAAAGCUUUGGUGGAUACGGAUUGGCUCGCGUGACAUUAGCUGGAUGGUAAGGUAACGGCUUACCAUGGCUACGAUGUCUAGGGGUUCUGAGAGGAAGGUCCCCCACACUGGAACUGAGACACGGUCCAGACUCCUACGGGAGGCAGCAGUGAGGAAUAUUGGACAAUGGAUGGAAAUCUGAUCCAGCCAUGCCGCGUGCAGGAAGACGGCCCUAUGGGUUGUAAACUGCUUUUGUAUGGGAGCAAUAAGGGCUACGUGUAGUCCGAUGAGAGUACCAUACGAAUAAGCACCGGCUAACUCCGUGCCAGCCGCCGC
rnacentral:rRNA from 1 species